rnacentral:rRNA from 1 species
UACGGAGGGGGCGAGCGUUGUCCGAAUUUAUUGGGCGUAAAGCGCGUGUAGGCGGGUGUCCAAGCCCGGGGUGAAAGGUUGGGGCUCAACCCCAACAGUGCCCUGGGGACUGGACGUCUGGGGGCAGGCAGGGGAGCGUGGAAUUCCUGGUGUAGCGGUGGAAUGCGUAGAGAUCAGGAAGAACACCCGUGGCGAAGGCGGCGCUCUGGGCCUGUACUGACGCUGAGACGCGAAGGCGUGGGGAGCGAACGGGAUUAGAUACCCCGGUAGUCCACGCCGUAAACGAUGGAUGCUCGGUGUCGGGGGUAUCGACCCCCUCGGCGCCCAAGGUAACCCGGUAAGCAUCCCGCCUGGGGAGUACGGCCGCAAGGUUGAA